UACGUAGGCAGCAAGCGUUGUUCGGAGUUACUGGGCGUAAAGGGUGUGUAGGCGGUUGGAUAAGUGUGGUGUGAAAUCUCCCGGCUCAACUGGGAGGGUGCGCUACAAACUGUCUGACUAGAGUGUGGGAUGGGAAAGUGGAAUUCCUGGUGUAGCGGUGAAAUGCGUAGAGAUCGGGAGGAAGGCCGGUGGCGAAGGCGGCGCUCUGGAACGUUUCUGACACUGAGGCUCGAAAGCGUGGGGAGCAAACAGG
rnacentral:rRNA from 1 species